rnacentral:misc_RNA from 1 species
ACGUGGCUUUAUUUGCCUUACAUCCCUUGAGGGAUCAGGACCAAUGGACCCAGCCCCCAAAUCAGCAUCAGAAACAAAUGCUAGGUUCUGAAGGCAAGGCCUUAGAAAGGAAGGACGUGGGGGGAGAUCCACCACUUUACAUGGUUCAGAACACAAAUGUUGCUUCCUACGUCGAAUUGCUUCACAUGGGAUAAAAUCAGUGUCACCAAGCGCAAGCAUAAGGCAAUCCCAUGUGUAGAAAGAAAAGUGCUGCUUUUACUCCAUGAUCCGCACUCCUGCUUGUUUGCAAAGUUGAACAGCUAGAGAAAGGUUUUAACUUGGCCACAACGGGAUCAAUGCUACCCAGCACAACGGUUGAAUGCAAAAACAAAUUUGCUUUACAAGACAAUCAACCGGACUAUCUGCCCCAAAUACUUGAAGGACUUCGUUGCUUCUUUUAAACAUUUGUUUUUCACAUCUCGGGGCCAGUGCUCUCCAAGCAUAUUGAGAUUCUCACGUGUCCACUUCAGCAAUUCUUGAACCUCUCCCUCCCAUCUGUCACAUUCCAAA